rnacentral:rRNA from 1 species
CAUGGGGGCAACCCUGCACCAGCAAUGCCGCGUGUGUGAAGAAGGCCCUCGGGCUGUAAAGCACCCCUGUCCGGAAGAAUCGCACCUACUACUCCUAGGUGUGGCUGACGGUACCGGAAGACAAGGACCGGCUAACUACGUGCCAGCAGCCGCGGUAAUACAGAGGUUGCAAGCGUUAAUCGGACUUACUGGGCGUAAAGCGUGCGUAGGAGGCUUGCUAAGUCGGGCGUGAAAUCCCUGGGCUCAACCCGGGAAUGGCACUCGAUACUGGUGGGCUAGAGUUCGGUAGAGGGCGGCGGAACUCCCGGUGUAGCGGUGAAAUGCGUAGAUAUCGGGAGGAACAUCGAUGGCGAAGGCAACCGCCUGGGCCUGAACUGACUCUGAGGCACGAAAGCGUGGGGAGCAAACAGGAUUAGAUACCCUGGUAGUCCACGCCGUAAACGAUGGAAACUUGACGUCGGCUCUCUUACGAGAGUCGGUGUCGCACUAACGCGAUAAGUCGUCCGCCUGGGGAGUACGGCC